rnacentral:rRNA from 1 species
UACGUAGGGACCGAGCGUUGUCCGGAAUCAUUGGGCGUAAAGAGCGUGUAGGCGGCUUGUUAAGUCUUGCGUGAAAUCUCGGGGCUCAACCCCGAGCGGUCGUGAGAAACUGGCAGGCUAGAGUGCGGGAGAGGAGAGUGGAAUUCCUGGUGUAGCGGUGAAAUGCGCAGAUAUCAGGAAGAGCACCCGUGGCGAAGGCGGCUCUCUGGAACGCAACUGACGCUGAGACGCGAAAGCGUGGGGAGCAAACAGG